rnacentral:lncRNA from 1 species
UUCAUUUAAUUUCACAUUUCCAUUCACAAAUUACAAUAUUCAAACCAACAUUCAUAUUCAACCAUUUCAACCACAAACCAAUGUUUUCAAUUGAAGGUUACGACAAAAUUACAAUUUCAAUCAAGUCAAUUUAAGUUCCAUUACAAAUCCAUUCCAUUUGAAACAAAUUUCAAGCAGUUCCUAGCACCUCCCAAAUGCAUUUACCUGCAAAAGAAAUCCAGUUUAAGUCAUUAACAUUGCCCCUGCGAAUUACCAAACAGAAAGAAGCAUAAGUCUCACUUGCAACCAAUUUCAUUUAACAUGUUAACAAUACUCCAAUUAACUUCAACCAAGAUCAUUCACAUUAAAACAAUUUAAAACAAUUUCACUAAUCCCUAACUUCACAAUUCACAACAAGUACUUAGCAAAACCGAAACUCUUCAACUAAGGGAUUCAAAACUAAUUCAUAACAGGAAAAACGAAAUUCCACUAAUUAACAUUUUCAAUACUCUAACAAUUAACAAAAUGAUUUCACUUCAUUCACAACAAGUCACGAGCAGAUUCAUCACCAAUUAACAAACUAAUCUACUAACAUUUAACCAUUUCAUUUAACAGAAAUUGAUCACUAAUAGAUUUAGUUAUAUUAACAUAACCUUCAAUUUUACUGACUCAGUUACAUUUCCAGAUGUUAUCACAGUUAGCAACCUCAUAACUACAUGAUAAAAACUCUGUUAACAGAACUAAAUCAAUAACUUCACUCUUCAAUUAACAGAAUCAUCACAGAGUUAACAACUUCAUAACUAACUAAUUUUACAACUCUCCUAACUAACUAAAUUUUUUCCACAGUGUUAACAAACGUGUAAAAGAAAUACACAUAAUUGAAUUAACAGAGAACCAUUAACAGAAUCACGCUGUAUGUAUGUUCACCCUGCAACUUCAACCAGGGACGAUUUUCAUUCUUUUCGAUUUUCAUCCUCCAUCUCUCUCUCUCUCAGAAUUUCAUUCUUCACAAACUCUCAGAAUUUCAUUCUUCACAAACUCUCAGAAUCUCAUAAAUUUAUUCUUCGACGUUCAUACGAUAUGUUCUUCUCUCAAUCUCGCAAGACUUCAUUGCAGAAACAAACAAGAACUUAAGCCGCAGCAGAGAAUUUGAGGAGAAGAAGAAGAAAUCAAAAUCAAAAGGAAAGUGAAGAACGCAAUAC